GACGAACGCUGGCGGCGUGCCUAAUACAUGCAAGUCGAACGAACUCUGGUAUUGAUUGGUGCUUGCAUCAUGAUUUACAUUUGAGUGAGUGGCGAACUGGUGAGUAACACGUGGGAAACCUGCCCAGAAGCGGGGGAUAACACCUGGAAACAGAUGCUAAUACCGCAUAACAACUUGGACCGCAUGGUCCGAGCUUGAAAGAUGGCUUCGGCUAUCACUUUUGGAUGGUCCCGCGGCGUAUUAGCUAGACGGUGGGGUAACGGCUCAUCAUGGCAAUGAUACGUAGCCGACCUGGGAGGGUAAUCGGCCACAUUGGGACUGAGACACGGCCCAAACUCCUACGGGAGGCAGCAGUAGGGAAUCUUCCACAAUGGACGAAAGUCUGAUGGAGCAACGCCGCGUGAGUGAAGAAGGGUUUCGGCUCGUAAAACUCUGUUGUUAAAGAAGAACAUGUCUGAGAGUAACUGUUCAGGUAUUGACGGUAUUUAACCAGAAGGCCACGGCUAACUACGUGCCAGCAGCCGCAGUAA
rnacentral:rRNA from 1 species